rnacentral:rRNA from 1 species
GUAGUCUCGCACAGAUGCAUAUCAAUAAGCGGAGGAAAAGAAACUAACAAGGAUUCCCCUAGUAACGGCGAGUGAAGCGGGAAGAGGCUCAAAUUUGAAAUCUUAAAGGGUUUCCCUUUACGAAUUGUAGUUUAAAGAAGUGUUUUCUGUUGAGGUUUUGGUAAAAGUUCUUUGGAAUAGGACAGUCAUAGAGGGUGAGAAUCCCGUAUUUGACCUUUACUUUCAACUUUGUGAUACACUUUCAAAGAGUCGGAUUGUUUGGGAAUGCAGUCCAAAAUGGGUGGUAAAUUUCAUCUAAAGCUAAAUAUUGGCGAGAGACCGAUAGCGAACAAGUACCGUGAGGGAAAGAUGAAAAGAACUUUGAAAAGAGAGUUAAACAGUACGUGAAAUUGUCAAAAGGGAAGCGUUUGACACCAGUGUUGUUUUUCUGAAAAUCAAUUAAAGAACUGUUUAUGCUAAGCUGUUUAGACUUUAUCAGCUAAUCUGUUUAGUUUUGAGCUUUUCUUUAAUGCACUUUUCAGUUAACAAGUCAACAUCAAUUUCUUUUGCUGUAAAAAAGCUUGAGGAAGGUGGCUUGAGAUUCGUCUUAAGUGUUUAUAGCCUCUUGCCUAUGCAGUCGGAGAGAUUGAGGUCUGCAGCGUAGAUCCUUCGGGGCUAAAUGCAUUUGUGCUAAGUUAUAGCAUUUCAUAGACAACUUGUUGACUAUGAUUUGUCUUGUAGCUUACUCGCUUAUGUUAUUUUACCUACGCUUAGGAUGUUGAUCUGUAGUGCGUGCGC